UACAGAGGUCCCGAGCGUUGUUCGGAAUUACUGGGCGUAAAGGGCGCGUAGGCGGCCUUCUAAGUCGAACGUGAAAUCCCCGGGCUCAACCCGGGAACUGCGUCCGAUACUGGAAGGCUUGAAUCCGGGAGAGGGAUGCGGAAUUCCUGGUGUAGCGGUGAAAUGCGCAGAUAUCAGGAAGAACACCCGUGGCGAAGGCGGCUCUCUGGUACGUGACUGACGCUGAGACGCGAAAGCGUGGGGAGCGAACAGG
rnacentral:rRNA from 1 species